rnacentral:rRNA from 1 species
AGUGAACGCUGGCGGUAGGCCUAACACAUGCAAGUCGAACGGCAGCACAGUAAGAGCUUGCUCCUACGGGUGGCGAGUGGCGGACGGGUGAGGAAUACAUCGGAAUCUACUUUUUCGUGGGGGAUAACGUAGGGAAACUUACGCUAAUACCGCAUACGACCUACGGGUGAAAGCAGGGGAUCUUCGGACCUUGCGCGAUUGAAUGAGCCGAUGUCGGAUUAGCUAGUUGGCGGGGUAAAGGCCCACCAAGGCGACGAUCCGUAGCUGGUCUGAGAGGAUGAUCAGCCACACUGGAACUGAGACACGGUCCAGACUCCUACGGGAGGCAGCAGUGGGGAAUAUUGGACAAUGGGCGCAAGCCUGAUCCAGCCAUACCGCGUGGGUGAAGAAGGCCUUCGGGUUGUAAAGCCCUUUUGUUGGGAAAGAAAAGCAGCAGGUUAAUACCCCGCUGUUCUGACGGUACCCAAAGAAUAAGCAGCGGCUAACUUCGUG